rnacentral:tRNA from 1 species
GGGUCUGUAGCUCAGCUGGUUAGAGCGCACCCCUGAUAAGGGUGAGGUCGACGGUUCAAAUCCGUCCAGACCCACCA